rnacentral:rRNA from 1 species
CUUAACCGGGCGUUAAGUUGCAGGGUAUAGACCCGAAACCCGGUGAUCUAGCCAUGGGCAGGUUGAAGGUUGGGUAACACUAACUGGAGGACCGAACCGACUAAUGUUGAAAAAUUAGCGGAUGACCUGUGGCUGGGGGUGAAAGGCCAAUCAAACCGGGAGAUAGCUGGUUCUCCCCGAAAGCUAUUUAGGUAGCGCCUCGUGAAUUCAUCUCCGGGGGUAGAGCACUGUUUCGGCUAGGGGGCCAUCCCGGCUUACCAACCCGAUGCAAACUGCGAAUACCGGAGAAUGUUAUCACGGGAGACACACGGCGGGUGCUAACGUCCGUCGUGAAGAGGGAAACAACCCAGACCGCCAGCUAAGGUCCCAAAGUCAUGGUUAAGUGGGAAACGAUGUGGGAAGGCCCAGACAGCCAGGAUGUUGGCUUAGAAGCAGCCAUCAUUUAAAGAAAGCGUAAUAGCUCACUGGUCGAGUCGGCCUGCGCGGAAGAUGUAACGGGGCUAAACCAUGCACCGAAGCUGCGGCAGCGACACUGUGUGUUGUUGGGUAGGGGAGCGUUCUGUAAGCCUGUGAAGGUGUGUCGUGAGGCAUGCUGGAGGUAUCAGAAGUGCGAAUGCUGACAUAAGUAACGAUAAAGCGGGUGAAAAGCCCGCUCGCCGGAAGACCAAGGGUUCCUGUCCAACGUUAAUCGGGGCAGGGUGAGUCGACCCCUAAGGCGAGGCCGAAAGGCGUAGUCGAUGGGAAACGGGUUAAUAUUCCCGUACUUGGUGUUACUGCGAAGGGGGGACGGAGAAGGCUAUGUUGGCCGGG